rnacentral:rRNA from 1 species
AGCAGCCGCGGUAAUUCCAGCUCCAAUAGCGUAUAUUAAAGUUGUUGCAGUUAAAAAGCUCGUAGUUGAAUUUCGGGAUCAAUAUAUCGGUCGUGCCUCCGGUAUGCACUGGUAUUAUUGAUUUCUACCUUCUGACGAACUGUGAUGUCAUUAAUUUGGUGUCAUGGGGAAUCAGGACUGUUACUUUGAAAAAUUAGAGUGUUUAAAGCAGGCACACGCUUGAAUACAUUAGCAUGGAAUAAUGAAAUAGGACGUUUGACCCUAUUUUGUUGGUUUCUAGGAUCGACGUAAUGAUUAAUAGGGAUAGUUGGGGCAUUAGUAUUCAAUUGUCAGAGGUGAAAUUCUUGGAUUUAUUGAAGACUAACUACUGCGAAAGCAUUUGCCAAGGAUAGUUUUCAUUAAUCAAGAACGAAAGUUAGGGGAUCGAAGACGAUCAGAUACCGUCGUAGU